CCACAUGGAAACCGUCAUGUAAGAACAGAAAAACUCUAAGGUUUAUCUGCUGUGCUGCUCAACUGGAUCCAGACCAGAACCCUGAGGUCUGCUUUCCAACUCCAUCAAAACUGCACUCUUGAAUAUCACGGAUGUCUCAGAAAGGAGAUGGAGAUGGCACAUACAGCUUUAAGGAACUGAAUAGUUAAGUAGAACAGAGAUGUGGGACAGUAGUUGAAGAAGAUGAGAGGCAGGUAAAGUCUAUGAUGGGAAGAUGAGGGAAUUUGAGUUUAAUGGCUUCUGUUUUCUCAAUAGGAUAAGGCAAGGUCAGUAUCUGAGAGCAAGAAUAAUGUGUUGGGAUACGAGGAGAAAAAAGGACAAAGUGGGAGAGACGGUGUGGAAGGAUGAAUGGGAAGCCAGAAGGAAAUUACUCCAUGAGUUGGCUCUUAGGAAAGUGGGGGUCUGAAAUUAAAAAGUUAUUUCAAUUUCCAAUGAAAACAUUGUCAUUCUGAGAAGAAUUAUCCAUCUUUUCAUAUAAGAAAUACGAGGAAAUAAGAACCCUGACCAGGCAGGAGAAGACAUGCACUGUGGUCCCAGCUCUGCCACUGACUACUUUUGU
rnacentral:lncRNA from 1 species